AUGAGAUGGAGGGUUGGAUGGGAUUUUGGGAAGUUGUUGGAGAGUUUGUUAUAUUCUGUUAUGACCUCCUUGCCUUCGAUUGAUCUCUUAUUUUUAGGGUUUUUGGUUAUUGAUGAAUGCAGGUACGUGACACUUGGUGUAAUUGUAGGUGUGCAAACCACCUAUAAAGGAAGUAUCUUACAUUGCGGAAGUGAUGAAGACAUCUUGGAGUAA